GGAAUCGCUGGCCUGGGAUGACGGGGCGGGCGGUCUGCCGUACGGCGGUGAGUUGAUUCUGGCGUUUGACCCGUCCCGAUUCCUC
rnacentral:tRNA from 1 species